GGGCAUACCCGUAGACCUUGCCUGACUGUGCUUAUGGCCAGGCAGAGGGGACAGUGUAUGCAAGAGUAAUGUGGAGUUUGUGCUAAGCUCUAGCCAGCUUAAUUAGUGCACUGGAUAAAUUACAACCAACUGCUCACAUUC
rnacentral:snoRNA from 1 species